CCUACGUGAGGCUGCAGUGAGGAAUAUUGGUCAAUGGGCGCGAGCCUGAACCAGCCAAGUAGCGUGAAGGAUGACUGCCCUACGGGUUGUAAACUUCUUUUAUAAAGGAAUAAAGUGAUGCACGUGUGCCUUUUUGUAUGUACUUUAUGAAUAAGGAUCGGCUAACUCCGUGCCAGCAGCCGCGGUAAUACGGAGGAUCCGAGCGUUAUCCGGAUUUAUUGGGUUUAAAGGGAGCGUAGAUGGGUUGUUAAGUCAGUUGUGAAAGUUUGCGGCUCAACCGUAAAAGUGAAAUUGAUACUGGCAGUCUUGAGUACAGUUGAGGUAGGCGGAAUGCGUGGUGUAGCGGUGAAAUGCUUAGAUAUCACGAAGAACUCCGAUUGCGAAGGCAGCUUACUAAACUGCCACUGACAUUGAUGCUCGAAAGUGUGGGUAUCAAACAGGAUUAGAUACCCCAGUAGUC
rnacentral:rRNA from 1 species